GGAAAAUCUGAAAAAAUCAAGAUCUCGUCACAUAAAUAUGAUUUGAAUAAAACUAUCUUUUGGCUCAUACUAGCUUUUGGCUCAUUUUCUUUUGGUCGGGAAGUCAAUGGUGACUGGACUGAAGACCUAUCACUGGAUGAACAUCAGACUGUAGAGUCAUGAGUUAUAAAGUCAGAAAAAAAGUCACUGAGAAAAAAAAAAAUAUUUUUUUAUUUUUCUUUUUUUUUUCAGUGGUGGAAACAGGCUUCCAUAGGUCACUGAUUGACAUUUUAUGACACCACCUGUUAUUUAUUUAUUUACAGACAUCAGUUCAUGCCGUUAUGAAAUCAGCACUCAGCUGGGAAGGCUUUUGAACUGUUUAUGCAGCAACUCGUUUGGACAAUGGCCUUCAGGCAGCAGUAAAACUCGCCUCCAGCAGGAACAUGAAUUCAUCAGCAUUGUAAGUAGGCUGCAGUUCUCUCAGUUUCUUCUCUGAAGUUACUGUUUUCAGUUUAAAACAUCUCUUAUUCAUCAUUAAUCAUAGACUCUCAAACUCAGAGUAGGUCUCAAACUCUGGUAAUGAGUGAGUCAGGCUCUCAUGAAGCAUCAUGGAGUACAAACCACUUUAUGAAUCAAUAGCAUCAAAUCAUUUCAUACAUGAUAAUGGACAUCUAGUUAAAAUGCAGUGUUAAUGCAAACUUACAAAUCAGACAAAAUUUCUUUCCUCCAGGCACAGAAGAGUACAGCCCUCCCGAGUAUCUGUUCACUGGCAAGUACCACGGGGAACCGGCCACGGUGUGGUCACACGGGAUACUCUUGCUUGUAAUACUCUUCUGGAAAUUUCAGAGGAGACGAGACCUUUGCAAAGAUCAAUGAUAAAAUCUGGACCAAAGAUGGCUUGUCACAAUGUGAGGUCUUCAUUUCAACUUCAUUUAUUUAUUCUAAAUCUUACUAGAACAAAUAUAUGAGGCAGAAAAAGCAACUUCUGAGUCUAGUGGCUUAGUUGAUGUACUUUUGAUAAAUUUACUGUCAAUCAGAAGAUUUUAGUGUGAAGUUUAAGGUAAUAAUCAGACUAAAAUCUCUCUAAAAUCUAGCGCUGUCACAUUGUGAAACUGAAUGAUUUGUAAAUUAUGCUUGGCGGGCCAUAUUAUACGCUUCAAUAGCUGUGGGCCAUUUGAAAUUCAUCCACGGGCUGGACUUUGGACACCCCUGCCUUAUCAUAUCUGAUAUUUUGAGAGACUUAGUGACUUUGUGAAUGUUUGAGUGUUUUUGCUCUAUAUUUCACCAAUAAAAAUGUCCAAAUAAAAAAGGGCA
ensembl:lncRNA